GAAAGGGCUGUUAGUCUCACAUUUUUUAUGGUAAGCACAAUUUAAGGGAGAACUUGUGUUUCUGCAUUAAUAGUGUAGAGCAGGGGCUGAAAACUGGCAGGUCAUGGGCCAAAUGCAAUUCAUUUGCUGUUUUAUUAGCACCCCAGGGGUAGUUUUGUUUUCUCUCAAGCUGAAUUAGUUUCAAUAGGAAGCAUCGUAUAAACCUCUGAACUUUUGGUUUUUCUUAAAAACUUAGAUCUAGCAAUCUGAGGCCCUCAUUCUCACAUGAAAACAAUCAGUUGUUCUGCGUACAUGGGGCACACAUUCUUCACUAUACCCCAGACAUGACUGUCACUCAUUUAUAUUACCUAUGAGGCUUCUGUAGUCAUCCAAGUCGGUCAUGUUUGGUGCAAAGUUUAGAAAUAUUCAAAAUAUAUGAGCCACCGUUUUACAGGUCAGGUUCAAGACAUACCUUUUACUUAAAAAUGUCAACAUAGUAAGCUGAAUAACCUUACUUCCCUCGUUACCUUCUCCUAAGUAGCCUAAGCCCUCUUUCUGUUCUUCUUACUUCUUAGACAAAGCUACAAUUACCUCUUGAUCUGACCAUCUUAUUCCUUCCUAUUUCUAAACACUCUUUAGAGAAUACACUUAAAAAUGGAAGAUCCAUUCUUUUGUUCCCAAGUCACCAGUGCCUGAAUUUCACCUUUCUUUAAAAUUUUCCAAGAUUACAGACAACUAGUUCAACAUCCCUUGUGAUACUGAAUCACAAACACAAAUACUUCACAACCUGUUAUAUUAUUUAGUCACUGAUUUGGUUCUGUUGCCAUUAACCUGUACAUUUGUUCCAUCAAUAUUACUACUACCUAUUUAAAAUUCUAAGUCCCAAAAAAUGGACUACAAAGUGCUCUAUAUUACAAGUACCAUUUGCAAGCAGACACUUAAGUAAUUCCUAUCCAAACUUAAGAAUGACCUUUUCUCCAGUUAAAAUUGACUCAAGGCCUUUGCACCUUUCGUUCCUUCUGCCUAGCAUGCUCUUCCCUCAUAUGACUCCAUAGCCUCAUCCUUCUCAUAACUCUGCUUAGAUAGCCCCUCCUCAGAGCACUCUUUCCUGACCACAUUCUGGGCACUUAAUAGCCGACAACCUUAUUUUUGCUUGUUCAUUUGUUUUCCUUCAAAGCACUUAUCACUAUCCAAAAUACUUAAUAUUUAGAUCUUUACCUCUCUCCCCAUUAGGAAGUAAACUCCAUAACAAUGGGUACCUUGUCUAUUUUGCUCACUAAUAUAUCCCCAGAGCCUACAACAGUACCUGGCUCAUGAUAAGGACAAAGAAUAUUUAGUGAAUGAGAAGACUACCUGGAAAUGAAAAAAGGAUAUCAUGGAGAAUUCCUUGGAUUAACCGGAAGAAAGGAUAUCUUUCAUCUUUGUUUAUUUGGUACAUUUUUGGCAUUAAAAAAAAAAAAAUUAUGAGAACUAAACCCCAACGAAGCAGGUGACAGGCCAUCACACCUUCCCUUCCACCAGGUUUCAAAACAGCAGCAUAAAGGCCACAAAACUCUCCCCUCCACUGGGUCCAACUGACAGCAUGAGGAGUAAAGGAAAGUCAUGGGGAUAAACUGCUGUCACCACACAUCACUGCCUGUUUCUGGCAAUGUAGGAAGGAUAGGGGCCUAUCCUAGAGGAUGAGCAGAGUCAAUACCAAACUAAUAAAGAAGCAGAUUCCAGACAGAUAGGCAUCUAUGUCCAGGACCACCCCCAUGCCUCCCUCACCGCCAUCACAGAAGCUCAUUAUAUGCAUAUUAAGAGCAGAGAAAAUGAGAGGGAAUGAAAAGUCCAUUCUCCACACAUGAAUCACGGCUGCUCUUGGAAUACCAGCUUCAGCUGCAAGCCUCAGCUUCCUCCUCUGCUGCCCUCCCUGACAAAGGCUCUUCUCCCCUCUGGAGGUGCUGCCCAUGGACACAGAGAUCUCUGGGGUGAUGCGCAUUCCUGGCGUCCUGCAGGGGAACUGGGAAAGUGUUUUCUGACAGAAAUAAUGUUACCUGUAGAAGUUAGUUAGGCACAGGUAUAGUAUUUAUCUUAAUUCACAGGUAAUACUGAACUUUAAGUGCACUAUGACAUGCAGACUAAUUUUGUCCCAUGGAAAAAUAAGGUAGGAAUU